rnacentral:rRNA from 1 species
UACGUAGGGGCUAGCGUUAUCCUGAAUUACUGGGCGUAAAGGGUGCGUAGGUGGUUUCUUAAGUCAGAGGUGAAAGGCUACGGCUCAACCGUAGUAAGCCUUUGAAACUGGGAAACUUGAGUGCAGGAGAGGAGAGUGGAAUUCCUAGUGUAGCGGUGAAAUGCGUAGAUAUUAGGAGGAACACCAGUUGCGAAGGCGGCUCUCUGGACUGUAACUGACACUGAGGCACGAAAGCGUGGGGAGCAAAACAGGAUUAGAUACCCCCGUAGUCCCUGAGCGGG